rnacentral:rRNA from 1 species
CCUACGGGUGGCUGCAGUGGGGAAUAUUGCACAAUGGGGGGAACCCUGAUGCAGCGACGCCGCGUGAAGGAAGAAGGUCUUCGGAUCGUAAACUUCUAUCAGCAGGGAAGAAGGAAGUGACGGUACCUGACUAAGAAGCCCCGGCUAACUACGUGCCAGCAGCCGCGGUAAUACGUAGGGGGCAAGCGUUAUCCGGAAUCACUGGGUGUAAAGGGUGCGUAGGCGGUAGGGCAAGUCAGAGGUGAAAGGCUACGGCUCAACCGUAGUAAGCCUUUGAAACUGUAGGGCUUGAGUGCAGGAGAGGAGAGUGGAAUUCCCAGUGUAGCGGUGAAAUGCGUAGAUAUUGGGAGGAACACCAGUUGCGAAGGCGGCUCUCUGGACUGUAACUGACGCUGAGGCACGAAAGCGUGGGGAGCGAACAGGAUUAGAUACCCGGGUAGUC